CUACUUACCUGGCAGGGGAGACACCAUGAUCACGUAGGUGGUUUUCCCAGGGUGAGGCUCCGCCAUUGCACUUUGGGCUGUGCUGACCCCUGCGAUUUCCCCAAGUGCGGGAAACUCGACUGCAUAAUUGGUGGUAGUGGGGGACUGCGUUCGCACUCUCCCCUG
rnacentral:snRNA from 1 species